rnacentral:rRNA from 1 species
GACGUAGGGCGCGAGCGUUGUCCGGAUUUAUUGGGCGUAAAGAGCUCGUAGGCGGCUUGUUGCGUCGACUGUGAAAACCCGCGGCUUAACCGCGGGCUUGCAGUUGAUACGGGCAGGCUAGAGUUCGGUAGGGGAGACUGGAAUUCCUGGUGUAGCGGUGAAAUGCGCAGAUAUCAGGAGGAACACCGGUGGCGAAGGCGGGUCUCUGGGCCGAUACUGACGCUGAGGAGCGAAAGCGUGGGGGAGCGAACAGG